rnacentral:lncRNA from 1 species
GUUUGUUUGCUUUGGCACUACUGGGUUGUAAAGGGGGCAGAUGAAAUAGUGAGAACAAAGUAGAAGGAAGUAGCCAGAUCACUAAGGACCUUGAGAAGGACACAUGAAGAGGCGCCGUGGCAGAGGCACGGGCACAUGACUUGGGAGCAGGAAACCUGGCUUUCAGGCAUUUGUGCCGUCAAUGGUAUUUAUUGAAUGCCUGUUGUGUGCCAGGCCCUGAUCUGGGAGCUGAGGCUGCUGCAUUGAGCGCCGGAGUGUAAUGUCCUGAGGACAUAAUGCCAUUGUGGCCUCCGCUGCAUCUCUAGUGGCUGCACUGGAACAGGGACUCACACAGUUGUUGACCAAAUGAGCAAAACAAACAGCAUCCUUACCUUUGGGGACUCUGCUGACUGGGGGGGAAAAUAGACAUUUCGCAAAAAAUGAAAUGGAUCAUUGAACACAGUUUUGAUGAGUAUGAUUAUAUGAACAUAUUUGGUGUUCAGGAACUGAAACCCAUGGGGACCCAAUAAAGUCAAGAAAGGCCAUCCUGAGAAAGGGGCUAGGAAGCAUUUUUUGGUCUCAACCUCUUUGGGCCUCCGUUUCCUUAUUCGUAAGCUGAGAAUAAUAAUUAUUUCCACGGGUUGUGGAGAGGUUAGAGAGAAUGUAUUUAAAGUUUCUAGCACACAGUACACUCAAUAUCUUUUAAUGCCAUUUGGGUAAGUCCUCAAGAAAAGUCACUAAGUGGGACCAUACUGCAUGUGGAAUUCUCUUGUGUCUUAAUUUGCGUGGACCCAAACCUAAAGCCGUAGCUUUCAAGUAACAUGUGUGGGUUCCUCACAACUCAUUUUCUGGCAAUGCUGGGACAAUAAUGUACUACUAUAUUUCAUAAUGAAAAAGAAAACCUUUUGUGGAUUUGACUGAUAUCAGAAUCAUUCCCUCCUUAGUCCUUGGCGAAAAAUGAGCCAAGAACUAAAUGUUUAUGUCUCACACAGUCAAGAAGUAGAUUAAUGGAUUAAAAUGACCAUUUAAGAGGGAGAAAGAAAACUCAAUUUCAGAGGAGGAAAUUGAGACUUGGGCGGGGAAGGGUUGCUGGCUUCUUUUUCCAUCAAAGUGACUGGUGGAUUUUCAUCAUACCCGGAAUUCUGGAGGCUCCUCCCGGGACCAAGCUGGGAUGCUGCAGAGUGAUGAGGCCAACUCACGCCAAGACCUUUUGGCUGCACUUGGCAGUAAGUAGCUUACAGUUUGACAACGUCCCCUACAAAUUCUGGAGUCCACAAUUGAGCACAUUACCCCAGACGUGGCUUAGCAAAGCUGGACACAGAGGAUUCUGGUGGGAUCUUGGCCUCAGGUGAGACUAAUUUUUAUAGCUGGCUCAUGUUGAUCUUGGGGCCAACUAAAUGCCCAGAUGAUUUUCAUAUGAAUUCUUAACACCUGGCCUCCCUCCACUAUUCUAAACUCAAAUAUAGGAUUUACAU